GGUCGUAACGCACGGGACUUCGCCGUCCAAUCGGAAGCCGCCCGGAAUAGGUCCUUCGCCCCCACGGUGCCCCAGAGUUACCCUGGAGGGAUUCGGUCGCCACGGCAACGGGGCACGCCGCGGCGCAGCGACGUGAGGAUGGUGCGGGGUGACUGGCCUCCUGCUUCCACAGCGCAGCAGCCAAGCCCUGGUGUCCCUGAGUUCUCCGUUCGCCUGCACCCCACCUGUACCCUGGAAGGCAAGUUCAUGGAGCAGUCUGGGAUGCCACCUUAGGGCAUGUGUGGGCUUGCAGGAGCCAGGGCCAGUGGAGAACAGCAGGGUGGUGGGGUAGUGGGGUUCUGCUCAGGGAACAGGAGUCUGAGGGGCCGGGAGCACCCUUUCCGGGAAGCGAGUAGCGGGGACAUUGCCCCUGCCUUGAAGGGCACAGGGAUGGGAUGCGGUACUUACAGCUUUGGAAGGUGACAGAGAAUGUGUAGAAGACUCGGGGAGGGGCUGGUGGCAGGAGGCUGCUCGCUCUGCUCGAGCCUGGAAGGCAGGACAGAGACAGGGCUCUUCAGCCAGGAUGGGCAAGAGCCGUCACACAGCCGGGGUAGAGGAGGCAUGGGAGACCCGCUCAGAGGGAUCAGGAUCGCAAGCUGGCAGACACCAGGCUGUGUAGGCCCAGUGGGGUCUGGACUCUACUGGGGGUAGUGGGGAGGCCGAGGAAGGGAGUGCAGGGCCAGACAGAGUUCCUGAUGCCACAGCUGCCCUAUGACUUUUGUCGGUCCCUUCCUCAUUUUUUUUUUAGGUUUGUUUAUUUAUUUUGAGAGAGAGAGAGAGAGAGAGCAUGCGGGAGGGGCAGAGAGAGAAGGAGAGAGAGAAUCCCAAGCUGGCUCUGCACUGUCAGCACAGAGACUGGUGAGGGAUGCGAACUCACAACCAUGAGAUCAUGACCAAGCCAAAAUCAAGAGUCAGACACUAACCAACUGAGCCACGCAGGCGCCCCAGUCCUUUCCUCCCUUAAAAAAAAUAUCAAAAAUCAUAUUUUACUACUGCCUUGCUAUCUAGGCAAACAUAAAUCCAGGCUCCAUUCAUUAUUACCUAUUCAUUAUAACUUUAUUGAUUUUUUAAUUAAUUUGUUUAUGUUUAUUCAUUUUUUGAGAGAGAGAGAGAGAGAGAGAGGCAGGCAGAGAGAGAGAGAGAGAGAGGGAGACACAGAAUCUGAAACAGGCUCCAGGCUCUGAAUUGUCAGCACAGACCCCAAUGCGAGGAUGCAGCCCACGAAACAGAUCAUGACCUGAGCUGAAGUCAGAUGCUUAACCGACUGAGCCAUCCACGCACCCCUCAAUUUUUUCCUUCUGAUUUUACAAGUGGGUAAAAUUCAAAUAUUUUCAUGGGUCUUGUGAAUAAAUUGGCCCUGCCUGGAGUGUCACCUGCUCAUCACAGGGUCAUUGGCUUGUGACAUUUAGGACAGACCCCCAGGGACGGGCCCUGCCCUAUCUAUGACAUCAUUCUUCCUUCCUCUAGCUUCUGUGUCCUCUCAGGAAGGUGCAUUUAAAGAUCCCCAAUGGGGCAGAGAUUGUCUUUGAUGCUAAUGGAGACAGAGUUACAGGAUUUGACAUUUUGCAAGGGCAGAAAACUGUAAAAGGCCUGUUCUACUCUGUCCACGUAGAUGUAUGUGACCCACAAGCCUCCUCAGGGGGUGGAAUGAUGGUCCAGUUGAUGGAGGAGGGGCUCCGGGUGAGUUGUACACAGAUCACCUCAGUCCUGGCGAACUAAAGCCAGCGAGGAACUCAGAGGCCAGUGGUCCAAGUGGCUGUCUGAUGUAGAAUGUGUGUGUGGGGGGGCGGUCUAAAUUGGGCCAGUUGUAACUCAUCUAUGUUUUUUGGCCAUAACCAGACCCUACCGUGAGGGGAGAAGAGGCAUUUACUUGUCAUCCAAAAUGAAAAUAUUGGAGCCACCAAUGUCGAAUUAGAGUUUGCAUCAGGGAUUUACCCUAGAGUAAUUUUUAAAGAUUUUAAAAUGUUUAUUUAUUUUUGAGAGAGAGAAAAACAUGCAAGCCAGGGAGGGGCAGAAAGAGGGGAACAGAGGAUCCUAGACGAGGAGCCUGAUGCUGGGCUUGAACUCCCGAGCCAUGAGACCAUGACCUGAGCUGAAGUCAGACACUCAACCAACUGAGCCACCCAGGCGCCCUUACCCUAGAGUAUUUUUCUUGUCUGUACUCAGGGACCUGCUUGGCGAAGAAGUGGGGAAUUUACUGGGAAGAUGGAAAAACACUCCACCUCACACAUUCCCAUAGAGCAUCUGGGAGGCGCGGCGUGACAGGUGUCCUUGUUUCGUUUAUUAACAGUCAGUUGCCAGCUUUGGGUAGGUAUGUCCAGGUGUCCUCUGUGGCUCACAGAGACACCCUGGCCCCCUGGUGACAGCAUUGGGUGUGUGACUCCUUCCACUGCAACCCCCUUCUUCCAUUGAUGGCCUUCAGGUUUUCCAAUUGAGAGGUGCCCAUCCUUGGACCACAUUCACAGGGUUCUCUUGAAGUCCUUUUCAACUGGCCUGACAGGAAAGAACACAGUGCUCCCCUUUGGGGGUUGGGGACCCAACACCCCAACACUUCCCUCAAAGCCUGAGUUCCAGGAUCCAGCCAGAUCCACCAGCAGGGAGAUCAUCACGAUGUACCCUUGAAAUACCUCACAAAUUUAUUUGUCAGUUAUACAUCAGCAAAGUUAGAAGAAAGAAGAAGAAAUGAAUGAAUCAGUACAUGGAAUAUGUGGAAUGCUCAUGGGAUCCUCCCUCCCUGUAGCUGGCCUCCUUACCAUCACAUGGCAGGCAGGACUCUAUGUCUCCCACAGACAUGAAGAAAUGUCUUCUGUGUCCCAAGGAGCAGCACCCAAGCCAGGCCAGAGUCCACUGCCUGCCCAGGAUGGACACCUUCCUGGUCUUUGACGAGCCCCUGGGGUUGAUGCUGACCUCAGUGAUGCUCACGUUGGCCAGCCUGACCAUGUUAUUCCUAGUGAUGUCCCUGAGGCAUCGGGACAUGCCCAUGAUCAGGGCCAACGACAGGGCGCUCAGCUGCAUGCUUCUCACCUCCCUAACUCUGCCCCUCUGCCCCUUGCUCUUCCUCAGCCAUCCCACCCCUGCCACCUUCCUUCUCCACCAGACAACCUUUGCUGUCAUGUUCACCAUGGCCAUUUCUCCAUCUUGGCCAGACUGGGGUCCUGGCCUUCAGAGUCACCAGGCCUGGCAACAGGGCUUCACAUAUACUGUGCCUCCACCCAGGUUGUCCUCAUCACCUGAUGAUGCGAGUAUUUCUCUGUGGGGUCCGGCUGGGCAACUUCCUACCGUUCCCUGACAGGGACAGCCUCAGAGUCCAGCCACGUUGCCAGGGGGCACUGUGCUGACAGCUCAGAGCCUGGAGCCUGCUUCGGAUCUGUGUCUCCCAUUCUCUCUGCCCCUCCCCCACCUC